UGGGGAAUUUUGGACAAUGGGCGAAAGCCUGAUCCAGCAAUGCCGCGUGUGUGAAGAAGGCCUUCGGGUUGUAAAGCACUUUUGUCCGGAAAGAAAUCCUUGGCUCUAAUACAGUCGGGGGAUGACGGUACCGGAAGAAUAAGCACCGGCUAACUACGUGCCAGCAGCCGCGGUAAUACGUAGGGUGCAAGCGUUAAUCGGAAUUACUGGGCGUAAAGCGUGCGCAGGCGGUUUGCUAAGACCGAUGUGAAAUCCCCGGGCUCAACCUGGGAACUGCAUUGGUGACUGGCAGGCUAGAGUAUGGCAGAGGGGGGUAGAAUUCCACGUGUAGCAGUGAAAUGCGUAGAGAUGUGGAGGAAUACCGAUGGCGAAGGCAGCCCCCUGGGCCAAUACUGACGCUCAUGCACGAAAGCGUGGGGAGCAAACAGGAUUAGAUACCCUGGUAGUCCACGCCCUAAACGAUGUCAACUAGUUGUUGGGGAUUCAUUUCCUAGUAACGUAGCUAACGCGUGAAGUUGACCGCUUGGGGAGUACGGUCGCAAGAUUAAAACUC
rnacentral:rRNA from 1 species